UGGCAACCAUUGUUUAAUUAUUGCACUGCCUAAUUCUCCACCUGGAUGGAGAAAAGUUUGCAGCAGCCCUGCUAAGCAAUAAGGCUGGUUGACUUCAGAUGGGAUUUGCCUAUCCAUUUAUAAUGAAGCCUGUAGAAAACCUGUGGUGUUAAUGUCUCCCUUGAAUAAGAAAGUCUGGAGGCUUUGCAUACAGCAGCGCUUAAAGCCGUGGGUAGUGACGGCUCUCCACCAGUAAAUGCAGUCCUCUCACAUGCGAGACAACCAUCCAUCAACGCUGAUUUUAUGAUGCUUCUCUACAUGUAAUCUCCUGGUGAAAGGGUUUCUGCCAGUUACUUCCCUUGAAUUACCAGCCUGGCAGAACUGGUGGCUUGCCCCUGGACCUACAUUUAGCUCUACCACUGUUACACUUGGAAAAAAUUGAGAGAUGUGGUCCAGAUGCUUUGGGUUAGCUGCCAUGGUGCUCCUGGCAUGGCACCUUCUGUCUUUGUUUCAGAGAUGCUGAACACCAUGACUUCACCAAAACCUCUAAGGACUUUGGAAACUCAGGUCCUCAAGUCAGAAAAUUGCAGGUGAGGCCAAUUAAGUCCUGAGGGCAAGUGCCUAGAGGCUGACCAAGAUGCAACCGUUGUGGCACGGAGCCAUGCAUGGACAUGGAGCUGUACAUAGGUCCUCGCUGUGCUGAAUUAACAAUCCAGAAGGUUUUGUACAGAGCCCAGAAUUAACAAUCCGGAAGGUUUCAUGCAGAGCCCAGAGGCUGUGCGCUGAGAAGGCAGCGUGGGAGAGAAGGGAGAUGGGGAACCAAACCAUGCCCAUCCUUUAGGUGCAUAAAUACGGCGAGCUCCUUGCCAGCUAGUGUUUGCUUUACAGAACGUGGUGAGAGCAGUGUUCAUUACUUAUGCAAAGCUGCAUGGUUAUGAAAAUAAAGUGUCAGAUAAAACCAAAAUAGCCUGUUAUAAGGUCCACACCAAAAAAAAAAAAAAAAAAAAAAAAAGGAUUUAGAGAGCUGCAAAACCGCCUUCUGCUUGGAGCACUCAGCUGGGAGAAAUGGCAUCAUCCAGGACUGUGCAUCACGUCCUAUCUGAUCACCCACACAAUGCACCAGCUCGUUGUCUCCUCCUUCUCUUGCUCAAGGGAUGUUUUGACUCCAGCACUGAGCAAAGAGAAAGGCUUAUGUGACCUAAAUCAGGUUCUGCUUCUGCUCACAUCCCUCCAGCUUGAGUAAACAGCAGUGGAUGUGACUGGGUGCACAUAUGGUACCUCGUCAACGCCUCUUCUCUGCUUCAGGUUGUCUUCUCCCUUCCCCAGAGGUGAGUUUGACUCAUUCUGUAUUUAGAGAGAUGCCUCCCCUUUCCCCACACUGCUCAUUAAUCCUCCCCAAUCAACCAGUCCCCAUCCCACCCCUGCACCCUUGAUAGUUACGGAGCAGCUUUGUCCAGCACGCCCCUACCUCCCAAACCAAACCCCUCUGGAGGGCUGGGAAAGGUCUGGGGAAAAACCCCAGAGAGUGCCAGAACAAAUACAAAAAAGGCUCACUU